GUCUACGGCCAUACCACCCUGAACGUGCCCGAUCUCGUCUGAUCUUGGAAGCUAAGCAUGGUCAAGCCGAGUUUACCAUGACAGGGAAGGAAACAACUAAGACUGUGUGGUCU
ensembl:rRNA 5S_rRNA 5S ribosomal RNA